GUUGGAAAAAUAAUAGCUAACAAAGCCGAUGAUCCUUAAUUGGUCUGAGAGGACGUACAAUCACACUAGAACUGAGACAAGGUCUAGACAUCUAAGGAUGGCAGCAGUGGGGAAUCUUGAACAAUGAGCGAAAGCUUGAUUCAGCGAUAUAGAGUGAAUGAUGAAAGCCAUUAGGUUGUAAAGUUCUUUUACCAAGAAAGAUUCUGACUUUACUUGGAGAAAAAGCCCUGGCAAAUUUCGUGCCAGCAGCCGCGGUGAUACGAAAAGGGCUAGUGUUAUUCGGAAUAAUUGGGUGUAAAGGGUGAGUAGGCUGUAAUCAUAGUUAAUUCUUAAAUCUUAGUAGUAAUUACUAAAUCAAUUAUUAAAAACAAAUUACUAGAGUAAAAGAGAGGAUUGUAGAAUUUCAAGUGGAGAAAUAAAAUUCGUAGAUUUUUGAAGGAAUAUCGAAAGCGAAGGCAACAAUCUGGCUUUAUACUGACGCUGAUUCACGAAAGCUUAGGUAGCAACCAGGAUUAGAGACCCUGUUAGUCUAAGCUGUAAACUAUGGAUACUCAUUUUUGGACAAUAAAUGUUCGGAAGUUUAGCUAACGCGUUAAGUAUCCCACCUGAGAAGUACAGUGGCAACGCUGAAACUCAAAGGAAUUGACGGGGAUUUAUACAAUUCGUGGAACAUGUAGUUUAAUUCGUAAAUACACGCAAAACCUUACCAACCUUUGUAUAAUUUUAUGUUCUAAUGAAGAAAUUUGUUAUGUUAAAAAUUACAGGUGCUGCAUGGCUGUCGUCAGCUCGUGUCUUGAGAUGUUAGGUUAAGUCCAGUAACGAGCGAAACCCUUUUUCUUUGUUGCAAAAGAUUUUUUAUUCAGUUAAAUUAAUUGAGUUAUAUUCAUGCACUCAAAGAGUAUUGCCUACGAUAUGUAGGAUGAAAGAAAGGAUGACGUCAAGUCUUCAUGGCCCUUAUAGGUUGGGCUACAUAUGUGUUACAACGAUAACAACAAUAAGUUGCAAUAAUGAAAAUUGAAGCAAAUCUAGAAAAGUUAUCUUAGUUCAGAUUGUUUUCUGUAACUCGAAAACAUGAAGUUGGAAUGAAUAGUAAUCGUUUAUCAGCAAGGAACGGUGAAUUUUGUACCUAAAUCUUGUACAUACCGCCCGUCACAUCGAGAGAGUUUAUCUAAUUU
rnacentral:rRNA from 1 species